AGGGGAUCAUCAGUUCUUGUGGAAAGUAGAAUUUUGCUGUUAGUUUCCUUUUCCUGUGUGUUUGGAAUGUUACGUCAGUUUUUUUCCUUUUUCCUCCAUGUAAUUAUAAAACUGCCUUUCUUGGGAAAUAAAGUUUUUACUUUAUUUUUUUCCAUCCCCCCUUUUUUUCUCUGGGGAGGAAUCAGCGAAGCCUCGGUGGACACCUGGUGUUCAGCCAAGGCAGUCUCUGAGUCCUGCCAUUGUCACUUUGAACAGGGAAUCCUUCCUGCCCUCCUGUUGAUUUUCUGUACAUGUGCUGGCAUCCAGGCUGGAGAGAGAAGAGAGUGAGACCUUGGUGAAUGAGGUGGAGGAGAUGAGUGGAAGAGAUGAGUUUAAGCAGAGAAGAGGGAAGGAAACUGUCAUCUCUUCAGGAGGAAAAAAUGCAUCUUCUGCUGUGGAAGUUAA